AUGGCGGAUGCAACUCUGUACAAGCAACGCCGCACGUACACCAGGGAGCUCCAUGACGUCGACCUCCACAGCAACCACAAGCUCCACGUCAUUUGCACAAGCAAGGGUGAAGACGUGGACAAGAUGUUGUCCACGCUCAAGAGGAAGCUCGGCGGAAUGCCCGUCAAACUAGUCGGCGUUGAUGUCGAGUACACGCCAAUGGAACUAGACAAAUUCCUCAUGAAUGGUGAGUACACCUUCGUCGGAUUCGCCAUUGAAGGAGACAAAAGCAAGCUGAAGCUAUCUGGUUUGGAGAUCAACUCCGACAACUACAUUGAUAUUCAGGUGGAAUGGAGAGACCCAUACAAUAAAAAGAAGUUUGACUCUUUGGCUGAUGUUGCCAGCAGGAUGAUCGACAUUCACUACCAUGACAUGAAGAAAAAAUUAACCGCAAGGAGGACCAUACUCUGUGGGGAUUUUGCCCGCUGCUAG
rnacentral:rRNA from 1 species